rnacentral:rRNA from 1 species
CCUACGGGCGGCAGCAGUGGGGAAUAUUGGACAAUGGGGGCAACCCUGAUCCAGCCAUGCCGCGUGUGUGAAGAAGGCCCUCGGGUUGUAAAGCACUUUCAGUGAGGAAGAACGCCUGGUGGUUAAUACCCAUCAGGAAAGACAUCACUCACAGAAGAAGCACCGGCUAACUCCGUGCCAGCAGCCGCGGUAAUACGGAGGGUGCGAGCGUUAAUCGGAAUUACUGGGCGUAAAGCGCGCGUAGGUGGCUUGAUAAGCCGGUUGUGAAAGCCCCGGGCUCAACCUGGGAACGGCAUCCGGAACUGUCAAGCUAGAGUGCAGGAGAGGAAGGUAGAAUUCCCGGUGUAGCGGUGAAAUGCGUAGAGAUCGGGAGGAAUACCAGUGGCGAAGGCGGCCUUCUGGACUGACACUGACACUGAGGUGCGAAAGCGUGGGUAGCAAACAGGAUGAGAUACCCUAGUAGUC